GAGCUGUUAGAUCACAAACAUAAUAUAGAACCUGUAGCCGUUUCUGGUAAAGAUGGUUUGAUAAGAAAAGAAACAAGUACGCUGCUGUUCAAUAAUCGAGUCUUACUUUAGUCACACUUGGGUGUAGAUAAGCGCGCUAUGUAUGUACACACUUCUUCACCCUCCUACACUCGACGGACUCGAUUAAUGAACAGCAGUGUACAUUGCAGGUACAGGAAGUAGACAAAGGAUAUCAUAAAAACAAUGAUCACACAUACGUAAUGUUAAUACAGACAAUUAAAAUGUAAAUGCAACUAAUAAUGAAAAUAUAACUACAAUUGAAAACAAUGAAUUUGUAAGACAAAGUUCUAUAAAUAUCAUGCUAACACAAACCAGCGAAAACAUUACUCCUAAUUUAAAUGAAAAGCAGAGAAAAUUAGGUAGUACAGGACGAAUGCUGCAAAAAUGUGAGAAGACUAUUGAAAAACUCACAGAGAAAGUUUAUCUGAAAAUAAUAUGAAAAAUGAAAGACACAGAGAAUUACUGGCUGAAUAUAAGCAAAUACGACAUAUCAGGACAUAGCAAAGAUGAUAAAAGAAGGAUUUACAACAGCAAAUUAACAUAG